CUGGGAGCCACAAGUGAGAGCUGGGUGUCAGGUAGGGGUCAGAGGCUGGAGAGCUGCCCUAGGAGGGCACGACAAGCCCUCCAUACCAAGGUGCUACCCCUCCCUGAGCACCCAAAGAAAUUAAAGCACAGGGGAAGAAAAAGAAAAGGAAAGGAAAGAACAUCAACAAGCAGGAAAGGAACCAGAGGAGAGCAUCUAGGAGCUGAAAUAAUGAAAGGUUGGGAAAUCCAUAAGAGGCACCUUUCUUCUGAAGCCAGAGAAAAGUGUCGACAGAGAGCAGAUCGCUUAAGUGCAUGCAAUAGAAGGGAAAAGGGAAUCAGAGAUAGAAUUUCCAAAAUAUUUUUUUAA
rnacentral:lncRNA from 1 species